AGUCUGUGGAGGAGACCAGUGGAGAAGGUCCAGAAGUGGAAAUGGAGUCCUGGCAGAAGCGAUACGAUUCGCUCCAAAAGAUUGUGGAGAAGCAGCAGCAGAAGAUGGAUCAGUUGCGCUCACAAGUACAGGUGAGCAGGAAUCCUUGGGACAUGGUGGGCAGAACUUAAUGAUGGAAUCUCUAGAAUUUAGCCAAUAUUUAUUUUGUUCUCUGCCAUGCAGGUUGCUCAGUGUUAGGGAUACAAAAAGAAUGAGACCCAGUCAGUGCUUUUGAGCCUUGCUGAGAGGACACAAAUAUAGUAGGGAGUUUCAGCACAGUACUGUGAGAGCAGUCCCCACAGUAUCCUGGGGGAGUGCAGGAGAGUCAGUGGGAGGAAGGGAGGUAAAAGAGAGGUUUCUGGAGAUCCUGAACCUACAAGGAUGAGGAGUUAGCCAGGCAAACAAGAGGAGCUG
rnacentral:lncRNA from 10 species